rnacentral:lncRNA from 1 species
GCAGUCAUCAAGAUGGCUGAUUACAGGGCCAGCCAUUCAGUCUGCUUUUAGCUGCAUAUAGUCCAAUAUUUGCAUAUGCAUUCAUGCAUAUGUCUGUGUCUAAGUGCACAGAUUGUAUGUAUGCCCUUGGCCUUCCCAAGGACCGAAGGGUUGCCUGGGCCACCUUAGCAAGGAAGGGCCUCUAGGGCUUCUGGGCCCUACAUGUUGGAGCUGGGGAGGAGGGGAGGCCAGAGAUUUCCCUACACUAAUUGUCUCCUUGACUCUGACUGAUGAGUAUUGCUUCGAAGGAGCACGCUGUGAGGCCAACACCUUUGAUGGAGAACGGUGUCUCUAUGGAGCGCUGAGCGACCCCAUUCGCCGUGCACUGAGAGACUACAAACAGGUCACUGCAUCCUGCAGGAGGCGGGAUUACUAUGACGAUUUCUUGCAGCGGCUUCUGGAACAGGGCAUCCACAGCGAUGUGGUCUUUGUGGUACACGGAAAGCCAUUCCGGGCCCAUCGCUGCAUCC